CCUAGGGGAGGCAGCAGUGGGGAAUAUUGCACAAUGGGCGCAAGCCUGAUGCAGCCAUGCCGCGUGUAUGAAGAAGGCCUUCGGGUUGUAAAGUACUUUCAGCGGGGAGGAAGGCGUUGAGGUUAAUAACCUCAGCGAUUGACGUUACCCGCAGAAGAAGCACCGGCUAACUCCGUGCCAGCAGCCGCGUAAU
rnacentral:rRNA from 1 species